UUGAAUCUUUAUUUUAAAAAUCAAGGUUAAAAGUAUAAAAUCUUGAAAUCUAAGAAUCUGAAAUAAAACUCAAAUAUAUCAAGUGAUUAAACUAUAACUACAUCAUUUUGAGAAACUAAGGUUUGAAUCGAAACCAAAUUCACAAUUUAAAGAUUAUUUUUAUAAAAUCUAAGGUCCCAAUUAUGCAAACUAGACCUCCAAAUUUAGGGCAAAAAAUAUUCCCUAUAAAAUAUAGGGUUAUUGGUAAAGGAAUAGCGUUCCCACUCCGUGUUGGCUGGGCUCCAAAGAGAAUAGGUUUGAAAGCAGCCAAAAUUGAAAGGCAGUGUUCUUGUGUAAAGGUAACACAUGUGCUUUGACUUAACAAUAUUCUGACCUCUAAAACUUUGAUUUACAAUUUUGAGUCAAGUCAAUUAUUGAAGGAGGAAGCUAAGAUAAGUUACAAUUACAAGCCUUAUUUCUUCUUAUAUAUAAGCCAUUGAAAUCAAGCUUGGUGCUCCAAACACAACUAUGGCUUCCAAUAAUGUUCUAUGCAAACUAAUAAUGCUCAUCUUAGUUACCAUCAUCUUUGCCUCCAAUAAUGUUGCCACAAGGAACUUGCUUUCUACGCCUCAUCUUGCUCAUGUGAAGCAUGAGGAGAUGAACAGUACAAGUGUUCCUGCACCCAAUCCUCCACAAUCACCACUAGACAAUGGACCAUGGGAUGACCCUUGGAGUGGAAACUUUUGAGGAUAUAACACUGACUUUCUUUCUUUUCGUUUCUUUUAGGUGUAGUCUGGGUGCUUUCAUCUUUUGUGCAUCCCAAAAUAUUUCUUCUUUUGCAAAAUUUGUAUGCGUAUAAUCAAAAGGUGAAAAGUAUAGUGGACAAGUGCAGGUUAGGUUGGUUGUACUUAAUCAACGUUCAUUGAAUGAAAAUUUAAACUUUUAAUCUUAAGGAUAAAUAUAAAUUAAUAUACUUUUAAAUGUUGGUGUAGCUCAUGCAUCAUAUAAAGUAGGUCGUAUUUGAAAUUCUUAACAGUUUUUUUUAGUCAUUGUAUCGUCCGUCAAGGAAUGACUAUCUCAAAUUGUCAUAAUAUGUGUUUUCAUAACAAAAUAUAAAUAUCAUAUAUCCAGUACUAUUGAUAAAUAA